rnacentral:rRNA from 1 species
CCUACGGGGGGCAGCAGUCGAGAAUUAUUCACAAUGGGGGAAACCCUGAUGGUGCGACGCCGCGUGGGGGAAUGAAGGUCUUCGGAUUGUAAACCCCUGUCAUGUGGGAGCAAAUUAAAAAGAUAGUACCACAAGAGGAAGAGACGGCUAACUCUGUGCCAGCAGCCGCGGUAAUACAGAGGUCUCAAGCGUUGUUCGGAAUCACUGGGCGUAAAGCGUGCGUAGGCUGUUUCGUAAGUCGUGUGUGAAAGGCGCGGGCUCAACCCGCGGACGGCACAUGAUACUGCGAGACUAGAGUAAGGGAGGGGGAACCGGAAUUCUCGGUGUAGCAGUGAAAUGCGUAGAUAUCGAGAGGAACACUCGUGGCGAAGGCGGGUUCCUGGACAUUAACUGACGCUGGGGCACGAAGGCCAGGGGAGCGAAAGGGAUUAGAUACCCCAGUAGUC